UGGCGUGAACAAACAUGCUAGAAAAAUGUGUUAGUUUGGAGUUAACAGGGCCACCAGUCUUUCAAGUUCAGACUGAGUUGGUAGUAUAAUACUCCUACAUUU